GGGCUGGGGCUCAGCGUUACAGUGCUCGCCUAGCACGUGUGAGGCUCUGGGUUCGAUCCUCAGCACCACA
rnacentral:tRNA from 1 species